UACGUAGGGAGCAAGCGUUGUCCGGAAUCAUUGGGCGUAAAGCGCGCGUAGGCGGCCCUGUAAGUCCGUUGUGAAAGUCAAAGGCUCAACCUUUGAAAGCCGAUGGAUACUGCAGGGCUAGAGUCCGGAAGAGGCGAGUGGAAUUCCUGGUGUAGCGGUGAAAUGCGUAGAUAUCAGGAAGAACAUCGGUGGCGAAGGCGCUCUGCUGGACCAUAACUGACACUCAGGGACGAAAGCUAGGGGAGCGAAUGGG
rnacentral:rRNA from 1 species